CACAGGUCCUAUACCAUUAACAUCUUGGCUGCGGAGGGUAAUGUGACAGCGCUGCACUCCUGACAGCAGGACAGUCUGUUGUUCAUCUUCCAGGCAUAUGAUGUCUCAUAAAAGCAGCUAGAUUUAACAGCUUCUAUGAUGUCGGCUGUAGAAGGAACCUAGACUACUUCCCUCCUAUGCCUUGUGGAUUGGAUGCCUUGGACCUCUAUGACACCUGUGUUGAGGGGAUAACACUGAUACCCCCAUCAUGGCAGCUGAAAUAAAAAUAGCCACCCUUAAUGUCAAAGGGUUCAAC